rnacentral:rRNA from 1 species
GGGGGGCUCAGAUUGAANUUUGGCGGCAGGCUUAACACAUGCAAGUCGAACGCCCCGNAAGGGGAGUGGCAGACGGGUGAGUAACACGUGGGAACAUGCCCAAAGGUACGGAAUAUUCUCGGGAAACUGGGAGCAAUACCGUAUGUGCCCGAAAGGGGAAAGAUUUAUCGCCUUUGGAUUGGCCCGCGUUGGAUUAGCUAGUUGGUGGGGUAAAAGCCUACCAAGGCGACGAUCCAUAGCUGGUCUGAGAGGACGACCAGCCACACUGGGACUGAGACACGGCCCAGACUCCUACGGGAGGCACCAGUGGGGAAUCUUGGACAAUGGGCGCAAGCCUGAUCCAGCCAUGCCGNGUGAGUGAUGAAGGCCCUAGGGUUGUAAAACUCUUUCGUGGGGGACGAUAAUGACGGUACCCCAAGAAGAAGCUCCGGCUAACUUCGUGCCAGCAGCCCGNGGUAAUACGAAGGGGGCUAGCGUUGNUCGGAUUUACUGGGCGUAAAGCGCGUGUAGGCCGGUNUGNAANAGUNGNGGGUGAAAUCCCGAAGGCUCAACCUUGGAACUGCCUCCAAAACUUCCAGCCUGGACUCAAGCAGAGGCNAGUGGAAUUGCCAGUGUNGAGGUGAAAUUNCUAGAUAUUCNCU